rnacentral:rRNA from 1 species
CCUACGGGUGGCAGCAGUGAGGAAUAUUGGUCAAUGGCCGGGAGGCUGAACCAGCCAAGUCGCGUGAGGGAAGACGGCCCUACGGGUUGUAAACCUCUUUUGCCAGGGAGCAAGGUGCAGGUCGGGACCUGCUGUGAGAGUACCUGAAGAAUAAGCAUCGGCUGACUCCGUGCUAGCAGCCGCGGUAAUACGGAGGAUGCGAGUGUUAUCCGGAUUUAUUGGGGUCAAAGGGUGCACGGGCGGAGGCACAAGUCAGCCGUAAAAUCGCGGGGCUCCACCCUGCCGCGCCGUUGAUACCGUGAGACUUGAGUGCGCGAAGGGUAGGCGGAAUGCGUGGUGUAGCGGUGGAAUGCGUAGAUAUCAGGCGGAACUCCGAUCGCGAAGGCAGGCUGCCGGGGCGCAACUGACGCUCAUGCGCGAAAGCAUGGGUAUCGAACAGGAUUAGAUACCCUAGUAGUC